GCUGCUGUUUCGUGGAUAGUAGUUGAUGAACAUAAACCCGCGGGAUUGAUCGAUGCAGUGAAACAGCGGGUUCCAGUCGAACAUCGCAAGCAUGAAAGAUGGCAUGGUGUUCGCCACGAACAUUUUGCCAGACGCAAUCAUGUUCGCCCGUUG
rfam:Phaeobacter sp. CECT 7735 genome assembly, contig: 0004